rnacentral:rRNA from 1 species
AUUGAACGCUGGCGGCAGGCCUAACACAUGCAAGUCGAGCGGAUGAAGGGAGCUUGCUCCUGGAUUCAGCGGCGGACGGGUGAGUAAUGCCUAGGAAUCUGCCUGGUAGUGGGGGAUAACGUCCGGAAACGGGCGCUAAUACCGCAUACGUCCUGAGGGAGAAAGUGGGGGAUCUUCGGACCUCACGCUAUCAGAUGAGCCUAGGUCGGAUUAGCUAGUUGGUGGGGUAAAGGCCUACAAAGGCGACGAUCCGUAACUGGUCUGAGAGGAUGAUCAGUCACACUGGAAAUGAGACACGGUCCAGACUCCUACGGGAGGAAGCAGUGGGGAAUAUUGGACAAUGGGCGAAAGCCUGAUCCAGCCAUGCCGCGUGUGUGAAGAAGGUCUUCGGAUUGUAAAGCACUUUAAGUGGGGAGGAAGGGAAGUAAGUUAAAACCUUGCUGUUUUGACGUUACAAAAAGAAAAAGCACCGGCUAACUUCGUG